AGCGAGGUGGUCGAGUUCUGUUUAUAGAUAAAUUCACUUCAUAAAAAGCUACUGCAAUUUGACUGAGAAAAAAAGCGGAUCCUUCGCCAAAGAAGUUUCGUGUUUUAUGUCAACUGAAAAUGUUAAGGAAUAUGCCAAAUACUACUUAUACAUGUAAUAUAUAAGUUAUAUUUGUGCUAUAUAUAUACACGAGGUCUGAUCAAAAUGUUUCGGGGAGUUUUGAAUUUCUCGCGCUAUACGUAUCCGAUUGAACACAUGUUUGUUUGUGAUGUUGAUACAUAUGUGUAAAUUUCAGCACUUUGGAUACGUAGUUUCUUCUUGACAGGCACAGAAGUAAUAUGUAUUUUACUGCUUGGCGAUGUUUUAAGUUUGAAAAUGACGGAACAAAGGAAAGCAUUAAAGUUUGUGUUAAAAAUAAAGUACAAUAAGAUGUUGGAAAUGUUGGAGAAGGCUUUUGGGCUGUGAAGACGUUGAAGAGGAGGGGGAGAGUUGGAAGGCCUUGCACAUCACCUAUCAAUAAAAGCGUGGAAAAAA